rnacentral:rRNA from 1 species
UACGGAGGGUGCAAGCGUUGUCCGGAUUUAUUGGGUUUAAAGGGUGCGUAGGCGGCUUUUUAAGUCAGUGGUGAAAGACAACAGCUCAACUGUUGCAGUGCCAUUGAUACUGAAGAGCUUGAGUACAGAUGAGGUAGGCGGAAUUUAUGGUGUAGCGGUGAAAUGCAUAGACACCAUAAAGAACACCUAUUGCGAAGGCAGCUUACUAAGCUGUAACUGACGCUGAGGCACGAAAGUGUGGGGAUCAAACAGG